AUGGAAGAGUUUGGACUCUCCAGUUUUGUGAUAUAUUACUUUUUAUUCAAGGACACAUCCAACAGGGAAAACAAUUGGCAUGCCAUUACUGAUGGGAUUUGCUCCAGCACUGUUGUAUCAAUUAGAUCACACUCUUUUAACAAUUUGUGUGAUGGUAAUUUGAGGAACCUUGCUUCUAGUUUAUUUAAGUGUGAAUUUAGAAGCCCUCGUAUAGUCUUUUAUUAUUAUUUUUAUUAA